rnacentral:rRNA from 1 species
UACGAAGGGGGGCUAGCGUUGCUCGGAAUCACUGGGCGUAAAGCGCACGUAGGCGGACUCUUAAGUCAGGGGUGAAAUCCUGGAGCUCAACUCCAGAACUGCCUUUGAUACUGGGAGUCUUGAGUUCGGGAGAGGUGAGUGGAACUGCGAGUGUAGAGGUGAAAUUCGUAGAUAUUCGGAAGAACACCAGUGGCGAAGGCGACUUACUGGACGAUUGUUGACGCUGAGGUGCGAAAGCCAGGGGAGCAAACGGG